AGUAGUUAGAGCCCGUUAAUGGGUGAUAGCGUGCCUUUUGUAGAAUGAACCGGCGAGUUACGAUUUGUUGCAAGGUUAAGCGGAAAAAGCGGAGCCGUAGCGAAAGCGAGUCUGAAUAGGGCGCAUAAGUAACAGGUCGUAGACCCGAAACCAGGUGAUCUACCCAUGUCCAGGAUGAAGGUAAGGUAAUACUUACUGGAGGUCCGAACCCACGCACGUUGAAAAGUGCGGGGAUGAGGUGUGGGUAGCGGAGAAAUUCCAAUCGAACUUGGAGAUAGCUGGUUCUCUCCGAAAUAGCUUUAGGGCUAGCCUCGAGGUAAAGAGUCAUGGAGGUAGAGCACUGUUUGGACUAGGGGCCCUUCUCGGGUUACCGAAUUCAGAUAAACUCCGAAUGCCAUGUACUUAUACUCGGGAGUCAGACUGCGAGUGAUAAGAUCCGUAGUCGAAAGGGAAACAGCCCAGACCACCAGUUAAGGUCCCCAAAUAUAUGUUAAGUGGAAAAGGAUGUGGGGUUGCUUAGACAACCAGGAUGUUGGCUUAGAAGCAGCCACCAUUGAAAGAGUGCGUAAUAGCUCACUGGUCGAGUGACCCCGCGCCGAAAAUGUACCGGGGCUAAACAUAUUACCGAAACUGUGGAUGAACCUCUUUAGAGGUUCGUGGUAGGAGAGCGUUCUAAGGGCGGUGAAGUCAGACCGGAAGGACUGGUGGAGCGCUUAGAAGUGAGAAUGCCGGUAUGAGUAGCGAAAGAAGGGUGAGAAUCCCUUCCACCGAAUAUCUAAGGUUUCCUGAGGAAGGCUCGUCCGCUCAGGGUUAGUCGGGACCUAAGCCGAGGCCGAUAGGCGUAGGCGAUGGACAACAGGUAGAGAUUCCUGUACCAGUGCUAAUUGUUUAACCGAUGGGGUGACACAGAAGGAUAGGGAAUCGCACGAAUGGAAAUGUGCGUCCAAGCAGUGAGUGUGAGAAGUAGGCAAAUCCGCUUCUCGCGAAGCAUGAGCUGUGAUGGGGAAGGAAAUUAAGUACGGAAGUUCCUGAUUUCACGCUGUCAAGAAAAGCCUCUAGGAAGAGUAGUACUGCCCGUACCGCAAACCGACACAGGUAGAUGAGGAGAGAAUCCUAAGGUGAGCGAGAGAACUCUCGUUAAGGAACUCGGCAAAAUGACCCCGUAACUUCGGGAGAAGGGGUGCUCUAUUAGGGUGCAAGCCCGAGAGAGCCGCAGUGAAUAGGCCCAGGCGACUGUUUAGCAAAAACACAGGUCUCUGCAAAACCGUAAGGUGACGUAUAGGGGCUGACGCCUGCCCGGUGCUGGAAGGUUAAGAGGAGUGCUUAGCUUCGGCGAAGGUACGAAUUGAAGCCCCAGUAAACGGCGGCCGUAACUAUAACGGUCCUAAGGUAGCGAAAUUCCUUGUCGGGUAAGUUCCGACCCGCACGAAAGGCGCAACGAUCUGGGCACUGUCUCAACGAGAGACUCGGUGAAAUUAUAGUACCUGUGAAGAUGCAGGUUACCCGCGACAGGACGGAAAGACCCCGUGGAGCUUUACUGCAACCUGAUAUGGAAUGUUUGUACCGCUUGUACAGGAUAGGUAGGAGCCGAAGAGACGUGUGCGCUAGCAUACGAGGAGGCAAUGGUGGGAUACUACCCUGGCUGUAUGACCAUUCUAACCCGCCACGCUUAGCGCGUGGGGAGACAGUGUCAGGUGGGCAGUUUGACUGGGGCGGUCGCCUCCUAAAGAGUAACGGAGGCGCCCAAAGGUUCCCUCAGAAUGGAUGGAAAUCAUUCGCAGAGUGUAAAGGCACAAGGGAGCUUGACUGCGAGACUGACAAGUCGAGCAGGGACGAAAGUCGGGCUUAGUGAUCCGGUGGUUCCGCAUGGAAGGGCCAUCGCUCAACGGAUAAAAGCUACCCCGGGGAUAACAGGCUUAUCUCCCCCAAGAGUCCACAUCGACGGGGAGGUUUGGCACCUCGAUGUCGGCUCGUCGCAUCCUGGGGCUGUAGUCGGUCCCAAGGGUUGGGCUGUUCGCCCAUUAAAGCGGCACGCGAGCUGGGUUCAGAACGUCGUGAGACAGUUCGGUCCCUAUCCGUCGCGGGCGCAGGAAAUUUGAGAGGAGCUGUCCUUAGUACGAGAGGACCGGGAUGGACACACCGCUGGUGUACCAGUUGUUCCGCCAGGAGCAUCGCUGGGUAGCUAUGUGUGGCAGGGAUAAACGCUGAAAGCAUCUAAGCGUGAAGCCCCCCUCAAGAUGAGAUUUCCCAUUUCUUCGGAAAGUAAGAUCCCUGAAAGAUGAUCAGGUAGAUAGGUU
rnacentral:rRNA from 1 species